GCAUAUCAAUAAGCGGAGGAAAAGAAACCAACAGGGAUUGCCCUAGUAACGGCGAGUGAAGCGGCAACAGCUCAAAUUUGAAAUCUGGCUUCGGCCCGAGUUGUAAUUUGCAGAGGAUGUUUUUGGCGCGGUGCCUUCCGAGUUCCCUGGAACGGGACGCCACAGAGGGUGAGAGCCCCGUAUGGUUGGACACCAAGCCUGUGUAAAACUCCUUCGACGAGUCGAGUAGUUUGGGAAUGCUGCUCUAAAUGGGAGGUAAAUCUCUUCUAAAGCUAAAUACCGGCCAGAGACCGAUAGCGCACAAGUAGAGUGAUCGAAAGAUGAAAAGCACCUUGAAAAGGGGGUUAAACAGUACGUGAAAUUGUUGAAAGGGAAGCGCUCAUGACCAGACUUGUGCCGUGCGGCUCACCCGGGGUUCUCCCCGGCGCACUCCGCACGGCUCAGGCCAGCAUCGGUUCUUGUUGGGGGAUAAGAACAGUAGGAACGUGGCCCCUCUCGGGGGGUGUUAUAGCCUAUUGUACGAUACUCUGACGGGGACCGAGGACCGCGCUUCGGCAAGGAUGCUGGCAUAAUGGUCAUCAGCGACCCGUCUUGAAACACGGACCAAGGAGUCGUCCAUUAGAGCGAGCGUUUGGGUGUAAAACCCGCACGCGUAAUGAAAGUGAAAUUAGGUGAGAGCUUCGGCGCAUCAUCGACCGAUCCUGAUGUUCUCGGAUGGAUUUGAGUAAGAGUUUUAACGGACGGACCCGAAAGACAGUGAACUAUGCUUGUAUAGGGUGAAGCCAGAGGAAACUCUGGUGGAGGCUCGCAGCGGUUCUGACGUGCAAAUCGAUCGUCAAUAUGAGCAUGGGGCGAAAGACUAAUCGAACUGUCUAGUAGCUGGGUA
rnacentral:rRNA from 1 species